GUGGAUUAGAUACCCUGGUAGUCCACGCCGUAAACUAUGGAUGCUAGCCGUCGGCAAGCUUGCUUGUCGGUGGCGCAGCUAACGCUUUAAGCAUCCCGCCUGGGGAGUACGGCCGCAAGGUUAAAACUCAAAGGAAUUGACGGGGGCCCGCACAAGCGGUGGAGCAUGUGGUUUAAUUCGACGCAACGCGAAGAACCUUACCAGCUCUUGACAUUUACGGACCGUUUCCAGAGAUGGAUUCAUCCUAGCAAUAGGCCGUAGGACAGGUGCUGCAUGGUUGUCGACAGCU
rnacentral:rRNA from 1 species